rnacentral:rRNA from 1 species
CACGUAGGGUGCGAGCGUUUGUCCGGAAUUAUUGGGCGUAAAGGGCUCGUAGGCGGUCUGUCGCGUCGGGAGUGAAAACUCAGGGCUUAACCCUGAGCCUGCUUCCGAUACGGGCAGACUAGAGGUAUGCAGGGGAGAACGGAAUUCCUGGUGUAGCGGUGGAAUGCGCAGAUAUCAGGAGGAACACCGGUGGCGAAGGCGGUUCUCUGGGCAUUACCUGACGCUGAGGAGCGAAAGUGUGGGGAGCGAACAGG